AUGAGAAGGGACACUGAAUGCUAGUCUGGCAAGCCAAAAUAUGAAAGCAAUCUAGAUCCUUGAUGGGUCCCAGCAAACACUGCACACCUCUGAACUGUCACUCAGUCAACAUGUAUACUCCUUGACUGAGCAGUGUUUGAGUGGGCACCAAGCUUAGACAUGUGUGUAGGGAGGCAAUUAUAACUAGUUACAGCCAUCCUGCCUCUUCUGUCCUCCUCUCUUCCCCAGCCUUAGCCCCCCAGCCUCAUGGGGCCCAGAGUCCUCCUUCAGAUGAGGCCAGUGUCCCAGGCAACUACCUGACGUGGGAAAAGCUGCCGUCCUAGAGAUCAGAAAGAACCCACCAGUCAGGAACAGCAAUUCUGAUGAUGUCAGCUUCUAAGUUUUCAGAAGCGACAGCCUCUGGUGUUCUUACAGCAUCAGAAGAGCAGAAAAGCUGGCCACUUAUGAACCCACACAUUGUUACAGAGCAUCUCGGCUUUCUGCCAAGGAGCACCACUCAGGCUUUAAAGAUUUGUCCUUUGAUUUUACUUUUUAGGGCAUCUUGAGACAAUGUUCUGCCUACACAAAAUUCUAAACUGAGAGGAGUGGCUCAGAAGCUCUACUAACAUGGAAUCACAUGUGGGCACCUGCACAUGGCUUAGAAUCAUUUACACACAGAAACACAGGAUUGGAAAAGAUUUCAGAAAUGAUCUUACCCAACUGCCAGCUUAAUGCACAGCUCUCCACUGCAUCCCUGACUGGGGCUCUUCUGUCCUCUGCUUCAUCACUUCCCAGGCUGGAGACAACAGGGCAGUGAGACCCGUUACUGGUGGAGAAUGGCCCCCAUCUUGCAGAGAGGAAAUAUCUUACUCCCACCCACAGAUCCUAGCCCCAGAUCUAUGGCAUUUAAGAUAAGCUUUAAGAACUCAUCUCACAGGAAAUAAAAGAAGAAUUGGAGGGUUUUUUUUGUUUUUUGUUUUUUGGGUUUUUUUGGUCUUUUUUUGUUAUUUUGUUUUGAAGACCUCUUUCAGUUUAUUGGGUUGCAGGAGGCUGGAGACUAUCCCAGCAGCACAUGGCACAAAGCAAGAACCAGCCCCGGACAGGACGCCAUUCCAUCACAGGUGCACUCACACCCACCAGCACUCACUCAGACUGGGCCCAUUUAGACACACCGAUUCAUCCAACAUGCAUAUCUCUGGGGUGUGGAAGGAAACUGGAUUACCUGGUGAAAACC
rnacentral:lncRNA from 1 species